CCUACGGGGGGCAGCAGUGGGGAAUAUUGGACAAUGGGGGGAACCCUGAUCCAGCCAUGCCGCGUGUGUGAAGAAGGCCCUCGGGUUGUAAAGCACUUUCAGUGAGGAAGAACGCCUGGUGGUUAAUACCCAUCAGGAAAGACAUCACUCACAGAAGAAGCACCGGCUAACUCCGUGCCAGCAGCCGCGGUAAUACGGAGGGUGCGAGCGUUAAUCGGAAUUACUGGGCGUAAAGCGCGCGUAGGUGGCUUGAUAAGCCGGUUGUGAAAGCCCCGGGCUCAACCUGGGAACGGCAUUCGGAACUGUCAAGCUAGAGUGCAGGAGAGGAAGGUAGAAUUCCCGGUGUAGCGGUGAAAUGCGUAGAGAUCGGGAGGAAUACCAGUGGCGAAGGCGGCCUUCUGGACUGACACUGACACUGAGGUGCGAAAGCGUGGGUAGCAAACAGGAUUAGAUACCCGAGUAGUC
rnacentral:rRNA from 1 species